CUUUUCCGAGAAAAGGACAGUUAGUGCCUGGACCAGGACCAUCACACUGGGGACCGGCUUCUCUGCUCUCCCGUUAUGGGGGUCGGGGGAAUGAUGGGUCAAGGGUCUUCCGAAGAAAGCGAGAAAGGAACAGGCGCCUUCAAAAGCCCACUUGGCGAUGGGUUACAGUAAGAGUUUCAGAGUGCUGGCCACACCAAAGCAUCAGCCCUGGCUCUAAACUCCGUUACAGUAAGGAAUUACAAAUCCUGUGUUUGUACUCCAGGAAGUCUGCAUUAUCACGAGGAGCUUGGAAAGGAGGUAACACACUCAAGGCAAAUUUCAAGUAACUCAUCCUGGAGGCAGCUGCCUACUCUGCAGCUGUGGUUCUCCACCACAGAGAGAAGAAAAGGGAGGGAGAUGGAGUGCGCAGGUCUGAGAAGGCUUUCAUUCUGGAGCAUCUGCAGGAGCCUGCACCAUGGCCCAGUAGCACCCCUUUUUCUCCAUGAGCUGCUGGUGGGUUCCCCCCUCCCGGAUAGCGCCUCCUUCCAGAAAGAGGAUGUGGUCAGCCUGCUCCACCAGGCUGAGGUGCUGGGUGAUGAGAAGCACUGAGCGGGAGUACCGCUCAGGGCUUUCGUACAGGAGCUGCUCCACCUGAGGAAAGACAUCGGACCGUCAGAGCCGGGGACUACCCUCAGCCCAGGGAGACACCUGUGUUUCCAGGGCUGGGACUGACCUCACAGGAUCACUGCUGGCUCUGCUAACAACCCCAAGGACACCAACGUUUCCCAUUCUGAGUACUUCUCCGCAAACCCUUUGUUUCAUUAAGGACUGUUUUACAUGAAGGGUGCAAAAGUAGGAUAAAAAUGAGAACCCUAGGGUGAAACACGUGACAGAAGAAUAAAGACUAUUGAAUAGUCCUCUUCUCUACCCAUGGACUUGGCAUUUUUAUAUUCGAUUUUAAGGAAAUAUAACUUAGUAGUAAAGAGAUGAGCAUUCAAGUCAGGCAGACCUGAAUUUGGGUCAAGGCUGCGCCACUCAAAAGCUAUAUGACCUCUAUAUGAGCAGCUUAUUCAACCUCUUUUAACCUCCAUUUUGUCAUCUGUAGAAUGAUGAUAAAUGCCUAGCUCAGAAGGAUUCCUAAUGAAUAAAUGAGUGACAGUGCAUGUAAACAGACUAGCUUAAUUAAUAUUAAUAUGAUUAGGAUGGGCUGGGCCCGGUGGCUCAUGCCUAUAAUCCUAGCACUUUGGGAGGUCAAGGAGGGAGGAUCACUUGGGCCCAGGAGUUCAAGGCCAGCCUGGGCAACAUAGCGGGACGCUGUCUGUACAAAAAAUAAUUUUUUUAAAUAAACGAUAUUAUGAG
rnacentral:lncRNA from 1 species